rnacentral:tRNA from 1 species
GGCUGGAUCACCUCCUAACAGGGAGACAACAACUGAUCGUGAUGUCUGAGUCAUUUAAUCUCAGGCCAUGAUCCUGUCAUCUCGAAGGUCGAUCGGUACCUCAACUUGAGGGUAAGAGAAGGGCUGAGAAAUCAGCUUAGAGACUUACGAAUCAAUUUCAGUUCCUAAACUUUGUCUAGGUCACCCCACAGAGGGUAAAGCCGAGAGCAUGAGCAGCGAUGCGAGUGCUGAACUGGCAAGCCGCAAGGCGAGCUGGAAGCGGCAACAACUCCUGGGCCAUUAGCUCAGGUGGUUAGAGCGCACCCCUGAUAAGGGUGAGGUCCCUGGUUCAAGUCCAGGAUGGCCCAUUCGUGUUUGGGGGUUUAGCUCAGUUGGUAGAGCGCCUGCUUUGCAAGCAGGAUGUCAGCGGUUCGAGUCCGCUAACCUCCAUCCAAUGAUAGUGUGCCCCAAGCAACGAAUGAAAAGGAGUUGCUGGUGAGGUGAUUUAGAUGGUUGACGCUGAGUCAGAUGACUCCAGCCUCGUGUCACUCUUGAUUACAGAUCAAGUUGUCACGAUGCUGGACUCAAUGCGUUCUGGAGACAGGGGGCAUUGCAGGAUCAGCAGAACCUUGACAACUGCAUAGGUGAGUUUGGAAAUAAAGCAUCUCAUGGAUGCUUGAUUCUAGGCCAGGUGAAUACCAGAAAUGGAAAAGCCGUGGCAUGGGAUCAAGAAAAUUCUAUUGAGUUUUUAGAGCCGAGAGCUUCCAGUUUUCUUGCUUGUCCGCCGAGGACAAGCGAGUUUGAUCCUGGCAUUCAAACCGUAGGGAAAGACCUGAGCAAUCAGGUUUCUAACCUGUA